rnacentral:rRNA from 1 species
AUUCUGACUGUGCGAAGGUAGCAUAAUAAAUUGUCUUUUAAAUGAAGGCUUGAAUGAAAGGUUGGACAAAGUGUCAUCUGUUUCUUAAAUAUUUAUUGAAUUUGACUUUCAAGUGAAAAGGCUUGAAUAAWYUAAAAAGACGAUAAGACCCUAUAAAUCUUUACAAUAAAUAAGUUUUAUAUUUUARYUUAUUAAGUGUAUAAGAUAUURAAUUUAUAGUUGUUYCGCUGGGGCGGCGURGAUAUAUWAAUAAACUGUCUAUAUAUUAAAMYCAAUAAUUAUUGAUUAAUAAGAWUGAUCCUUAAAYAGAUUARAAGAUUAAGAUACUUUAGGGAUAACAGCGUUAUUUUUUCWGAGAGUUCUUAUCGAAGAAAAAGUUUGCGACCUCGAUGUUGAAUUAAAGUAUCUUUAUGGUGCAGCCGCUAUAAGAGAG